AAAAUAAAAUUUGAUUUUAAAAAAAUUUAAUUUUUAAACUAGGAUUAGAUACCCUAUUAUUUUAAGCUUAAUGUUGGUAGUAAGUAAAAUUUAUGAAAUCAUAAAAUUUUGGCGGUAUUUUAAGCUUGUUAGAGGAAUUUGCUCUAUAAUGGAUACAACGCCUAUAUCUUACUUAAUUUUGUAAUUAAAGUCAGUUUGUAUACCACUAUAUUUAAUUAUAUUGAAUAAUUAUAUUUAAGAUUUUUAUAUAAAUAUAUAUUAAGUCAAGGUGCAAUAAAUAAUUA
rnacentral:rRNA from 1 species